rnacentral:lncRNA from 1 species
GAGUAAUUGUUGUUCAUGGGAUGGUGUUGAGUGUGAUGAAGACUUUGGCCAUGUUGUCGGCCUUGAUCUCCGUAGCAGCUGUCUCUACGGUUCUAUCAAUUCCAGCAACACUCUCUUCCGCCUUGUUCACUUGCAGUGGCUUGACCUCUCAGAUAAUCACUUCAAUUUCUCUCAAAUACCAUCAAGGUUCGGUGAUGAUCUUUCGAGUCUAACAUAUCUCAACCUUUCAAAUUCCUUGUUUUCCGGAGAAAUUCCACCAGAAAUUUCAAAGUUAUCGAAGCUGUCUACCCUUGAUCUGUCUUUCAAUGAUCUGAAAGUUGAUGAUGAUAGUUUCCCUUUGAAACUGACCAAGGGCAACAUGAGAAGCCUGGUUCAGAACUUGACCGCCAUAAAACAACUUCAUCUUAAUUGGGUAGAGAUGUACUCCACUGUGCCUGAUAUCUUGGUCAAUGCAUCUUCUCUCACAUCUCUCCAACUUCGCGGUUGUGGGUUGAAUGGGGAAUUCCCAAUUGGCAUUUUCCACCUACCAAACUUAGAGGUUCUCCAUCUGCUCUAUAACUCAAACCUCACCGGUUAUUUUCCUGACUUUAACAGGAGCAAUGCCCUCAAGAAAUUGAAUGUUGCCAACACGAAUUUCUCUGGCCAACUGCCUAACUCCCUCGGAAACCUUCAUUCCUUGAUUGUGUUUGUCAUCUCAUCGUGUAAUUUUCAUCCCAAUGUUCCAUCUUCACUCGGAAACCUUACCCAGCUCAACUACCUUGACAUGUUUUCAUUUAAUGACGUUUCCAAAGGCAAGAUGGGAGAAUUCCCAUCUUUUGUGUCUAACCUGACACAACUUGAAUUUCUAGACUUGUCCGAUACUGAAAUAUCUGGUCAAAUCCCAUCUUGGCUCAUGAAGUUGACCCAGUUAACCAGUCUAAGCCUUGACGAGAACAAUUUGCAAGGACCAAUUCCUAGGUCGCUCUUCCAACUCAAAAAUCUUGAAUAUCUUUCUCUUUCCGGUAAUAACUUGAGUGGGUUGGUUGAGUUUGAUCAGUUUUCCAAGCUCAAAAAGUUGAAGGACCUUGAUUUAUCGAACAACAUGUUAUCUGUGGAGAUCAGAAAUGAUUUAAGUGCUACUCUUCCAAAGCUUCAAACUCUAGCACUGGGCGCCUGCAACUUAACAGAGUUCCCAAAAUUUUUGAAAAAUCAAUCCGAAUUGACUAAGCUAGACCUUUCUGACAACUAUAUUCACGGCCCAAUACCGAAAUGGCUAUGGAAUGCAACUAUUGAAACUUUGUGGGGACUCCGUCUCUAUGACAACUUUUUGACAGGAUUUGACCAAGAUCCAGGCAUUCUCCGAUGGACAAAUCUGAACUAUCUGGCUCUUGGGUCUAACAUGUUACAAGGACCUCUGCCAAUUCCCCCGCAAUCAAUCAGAUUAUAUGAUGUCGAAAACAACGAAUAUACUGGAGAAAUUUCACCCCUGUUCUGCAACUUCAAUAAUCUCCAAGUUCUCAGGUUGUCCAACAACAGCCUCAGUGGCAUGCUUCCACAAUGUUUGGGUAACUCUAGUGUUUUGGAAAUAUUGGCCCUGCAUAACAAUUUUUUUAAUGGAUAUAUUCCUCCAAUAUGUCCAAGCAAAACUAGUCUGAGAAUUGUUGAUUUUAGUUAUAAUCAGUUGCAGGGGAAGCUACCAAGAGGGGUGAUGAAUUGUACUCAGUUAAAGGUUCUUAAUUUUGCAAACAAUCAGAUGAGUGACAUCUUCCCAUCUUGGUUAGGGGCACUUCCAGAAUUAAGGAUUCUCAUUUUGCGGUCCAAUGGAUUUCAUGGCGUAAUUGGGAAGCCUGCAACUAAACAUGAAUUCCCAAAUUUGCGCAUCAUUGACUUAUCUAACAAUGGUUUCUCAGGUAUGUUGCCCUCUAACUACUUAGAGAUCUGGAAUUCCAUGAAACAUGUUGAUGAAAACCGGCAAACUUAUUUUAGUGUAUAUACGGAUGACGUCGAUGGACGUUACUUUGGAAGUGAUUACGCAAUGACAAUAAGUGGUAAAGGUGUUCAGUUGAAAUAUGAAAGGACCCCUUAUCUUCUCACACUCGUAGAUCUGUCAAGUAAUAGAUUUGAAGGAGAGAUUCCAGAAGGUCCCGUUGGGAACCUAAGAGGCCUUGUUUUGCUGAACCUUUCCAACAACUCUCUCACUGGUCACAUCCCCUCAUCUUUAGGGGACUUGGCUGCUCUCGAAUCGUUAGAUCUCUCCCAGAACCAGCUCUCAGGAAGGAUCCCGAGUAAUUUAGAACAACUCACUUUCCUUGCAUAUUUUAAUGUAUCCCAUAACCAUCUCUCCGGGCCUAUACCACUUGGCAAACAAUUCGAUACAUUCCAGGAGGACUGGUACGAAGGAAACUCAGGUCUGUGUGGAAAGUCUCUGCCAAAGAAAUGUGAAGAUUCUGAGAUCUCAACGCGGCCACCAUCAUCAAUCGUGGGAGAAGAUGAAGACUCUGUAUUUCAAAUUGCACUAGAUUGGUACGUGGUUGUGCCAGGAGUUGUUAGUGGUCUGAUAGUUGGAGUGGUUGUUGGGAACAUAUGGACAACAAAGAAGCACGAAUGGUUUGUGGAGACAUUUAGCAGGAGGAGGAAGCCAAGAGGCACACAAGGGCUAGGAGGGGACGCAGAACUUAGCUCAAGGCCAUGUAUCUGUGUGUUAUGUAUGCGUGUUUGGUGUGUCCGUAAGGGAAGUAUUUGAGCCUUGAAAGAAUAUUAUGUUGUUGUUGUGUGAGGUUUCGUGGUACCAAUUGUGUAGUAUAUUUUGCAUAUGUGGUGGUGUAAGUUAUUUGUAGAUGUUCAAUAAUAUAUUUGUAAUGUAUUUCUCAACAAGUACUCAAAUAUGUCUUGAGAAUUUGAAAUGUGUUUGGUUUAAUAAAGUGGAUUGCAAGUUAUGUCUUGAGAAUUUCUUGAUUCUAGCUGAUUAAUUGCGAUUGUUUUUUUUAUGUAUUUAGAGACUAACAAACUAUUUUAGUAAUAAGCUAACCUAAGCUUAAUCUUUGGUUAGCCUUAAUGACUUAAAAGUCUACAUGGAGAGAGACUCUGAGCAAACGACUUGACUUCAAGCAAUUUCUGUUCACCUUCUCCGUUUAUUAAUUUUUGUAAUUUUCUCACUUCCAAAUAUUAAUUUUUAUAAAAGCGAGAAUGGAAUCGCGGUGGUCAAAGUUUAUUUCUGUACGUUAUUUGAUUUUGCUAUUACUCAUUGCUACUUACUGUAUUUUAUCUGUUCAGACUCAGACACUUGGCCAGGUUGAUGAGUGCUCUGCCUCGUUACAAUUCAAGAAAAGCUUUGCAAGCAAAAGUCUGUUCCGCUAUUAAGGUGGUUCGGAACAAAUGCUCUCUCUAAGAAAGGUAUUAGGUUUGAGUCUUAGCAUUAUGAGUAAAUUUAAUAUAUUAUCGCUCCUCUUAAUAUGAAAAGUUCUUAAAAAUACAUGAUCUAAAGCCAAACUCACAAAACCCAAAAGAACUAAAUUUCUAAAACAACUGAUGUGCCCGAAUAAUAAACCACUCAUUUAGCCUUAGAGAAAAUGUAGAACAUGAGGUAGAUUUAGUGGUGGAUCCAUGAUUUCAAAGAUGAUUAGGCAAAACUUACAUGCUAAACUCAACUGCACAAGUAAAUUUUAUUAAUGAACAUAAAAAAUACACCUAGUUAAGGGAUGUAAUUAACCUUACCUUCAAAUGCAGAAAAGUUGAUGCCUAAAGGUAGAGAGUAGGAGAGAUCAACUAGGCAGUUAUAACGUUUCUUUUAUUAUUAUUAUUUUUUGGGUUGGGAUAAAGAAAUGUACUUUUUGUGGUUGGAAAAUUUUGGGCCGGGCUGUAGCCUUGUCCGCCCUCCAUGUAGAACCAUCACUGGACAUAUUGCAAACAAAGAUGCCAAACUGACAUGACUCAGACCAAGUCACAACAAGAUUUUUUUCACUAACCUAAAAAAAUAAAAUGGAAAUAAAAGAGAGUGGAGGAGGGAAAUGCCCUCCUCUCCUCAGCAGGCAACACAUUUGGGUUCACAAAUUAUGUUCAAAGCGAUCAUGUUCGAUUAUAGUUUGACAGCAAUGUUUGUGGUUACAUGCAAAAGACUCUGACUGUGAAACAAUGUUUCCAGCAAAGAUAAAUAUCAAUCCUGCAGACGACUUGACUUCAAGUCUUGGAGUGAUUGAUCACCGCCCAUUUUCCUUGAUUAUUUUGCAUGAGCUGAAGGAGAUGGAUUUUGUACAACUGUAAGUAGUGUGCUGAUUAGUAUAGUCUAAGCCUGGAACGAUAAUUGUGCAUGCACUUAGUCUCUGAGAAUGACAGGUGUAAGGUUGAAAUAGCCACGUGUAGUGAUCCUAGAAUAGCUAGAUGUGUGGCUGAGAUUCAAUAUGUUGUGUGUGAAUCCAGCUGAGGCUAACGAUUAUGUAGUACACGCUUUGUGUUGCUCAUUCUGAUAGAAGAGAAAUAUAGUCAUCUCUGCGAUUUCUGCAAGAGAGAAACAUUUAAUCACUCUGCAUUUCUUCAUUCUUCUAUUUUUUCUCUUUCAAGGAAACUUCGUCGUUGCUCAGACCUCCCAAACAUGCUACCAUUCAAAAGGAUUUCCAAAUCCCAUGUCUGCCUGGGUUGCAAUCCUCUGUGUAACAAAUUACAAGCUGGGGAUGACAUUGACAUGUGAGUAAUUGGUUUUUUUUUCUUCUUCUUUUUUCGAUAGUAAGUCAUUACCAGGUUGACUAAAUUGCAUUUUAAUGGCAUUAAAACUAAAGGUAUGUGCUUAGGGAUUGUGGUUAGUCGUUACCAUGAAACAGAGGAUAUUUUUAUAGUAAUAAGCUUUAUUGGCCUCCUUCAACUAGAAAGUGUUUUGUGUCGAGAGUUUAGGCUUAUUGGCCUUUAUCACUAGCUUGAUUACAACAGAAAGCUUAAUGCCUAUUUAUAGAGGGAACAAACCAAGUAGUAGAGUCGGUUAUUCUAGUAAACCGACAUUAACUUGUAAUUCCAACCACAUAUUGUAGCUUCAAUUAAGUUAGUGACUAGUGUUUAGGGAAUGCAUCCACCCACUUUGCAUUCUAAAUUAUUCUAUAAAAUUCAGCUAGCUUAUAGAAGUCUCCACCAAAUGUGCAUUAUUUUUCAACUCAUAAAUUGGUUCAAGACUUUUCAGCCUUAAUGACUUCAAGUUGUUGAAUAAGUUAUGAUCGAAGACGAUAAACUUGACUUCAAGUCAUUACAUUAAUGGAAGAGGAUCCAUGCUUAUGGAUACUGCCGAUUGCGUCUCUACCAUGUCCAUUUGAUGGGCUAGAGAGUGACUAUUUUGUUCAUUUGGGGAACCAAGACUUCUUUCAUGUUAAGACUGGCACUAAUUAUGAAUUUUACAAGAUUCAAUAUAUUUGUAUCACCACGUUUCAAAUUAUUUGUUCGGGAAGAUGGAAGACAUAUAAUCAAGCAUAAUCGCAAACAUAUAUCAUAAUUAAGCCUUUCAAUAUCUCACAUUACGAUACCGUCAUAGGCUUACAAGUAAACACGGCCAUAUGCCAUAAUUUAAUAUUUGCCUGCUACAAUUGAUCGAUCACAUGGCCUUAGCUUUUCCAUGUUAUUUUCAAUCUCACCCGCAAUUUCAGUUCGGAAGGGUAGGUAGUGGUAGUGUUUCAUUUUAUGACUCCAAUUGUCCAAGUUGGCCCCUUAUUACUCGAUAGACAUAUGGUAUGUGAUGCUGUUAAUUUAAUUCUGAAAAUUUCUUCGUCAUGUUUCGAUAAUAAAUAAAUAAAUAAAUAGAUUAAAACACAAGUAUCAUCUUUGUGCUUUUUAUUUGCACAUUAUUUAUGGUUAGCAAUUUGAAUGGUUCGCAGCAAAUCAAAUUGCAUAAACGUCAUUUGUAUGAGCCUCCUUGUGUAAAACUUUUCAGCCUCAAUGGCUUCAGCUGAUAAACAUGAAAUAAAUAUAUUAAAACCAGUGAGGUAAAUUAAUUAAUGGAAAACUUUAAAGACUUUGAAUGGUUAGCUUUGGAAGACGAUAAACUUCUGUUCACCUUCUAUAAAAGGAGUUUAUAAUUUCUCCACCCUUAAUUGUGUGAGAGCCAUAAUUAAGCAUACAUAAUUACAAAACAAAAUUGCAAUGGGAAUGGAAUCGUGGCUGUCCAAGUUCAUUUCUCUACGUUGUUUUAUUUUUCUGUCACUCAUUGCUACUCACUGUUUUUUAUUUGUGUAGACUCAGGCACUUACCCAGGUUGAUGAAUGCUCAGCCUUGCUGCAGUUCAAGGAAAGCUUUGCAAUUAACAAGUCUGAUUCUGCAGAUCCUCUUGCUUAUCCGAAGGUUUCAUUUUGGACGCGAGAAGGAGAUGAGAAUCGGAGUACUUGUUGUUCAUGGGAUGGUGUUGAAUGUGAUGAGGAGUCUGGCCAUGUUAUUGGCCUUGACCUCCGUAGCAGCUGUCUCCAUGGUUCUAUCAAUUCCAGCAACAGUCUCUUCCGCCUUGUCCACUUGCAGAGGCUUGACCUCUCAGAUAAUCACUUCAAUUUCUCUCAAAUACCGUCAAGAUUUGGUCAUGAUCUUUCGAAGUCUAACAUAUCUCAACCUUUCAAAUUCCUUAUUCUCUGGCCAAAUUCCAUCAGAAAUUUCAAAGCUAUCAAAGCUGUCUACCCUUGAUCUGUCUUUCAAUGGUCCGAAAUUUGAUGCUUAUGGUAUCCCUUUGAAAUUGACCAAGGGCAACAUGAGAAGCCUGGUUCAGAACUUGACCGCCAUAAAACAACUUCAUCUUAAUUGGGUAGAGAUGUACUCCACUGUGUCUGAUAUCUUGGUCAAUGCAUCUUCUCUAACGUCUCUCCGAUUUGGCUAUUGUGAGUUGAAUGGGGAAUUCCCAGUAGGCAUCUUCCACCUACCAAACUUAGAGGUUCUGGAUGUGAAAGGUAACUCAAACCUUACCGGUUAUUUCCCUAACUUUAACAUGAGCAAUAAUAAUUCUAUCAGAAACCUCCAUUCCUUAAAUUUGUUGGACAUCUCUCGCUGUCAUUUUUACCCCCUUGUUCCAUCUUCACUCGGAAACCUUACCCAGCUCAACUACCUUGACAUGUUUUUAUUUAAUGACAUUCCAAAUAAUAAUUCCACAGGCCAAUUAGUUUCUGAAUAUUCCUUGUCUUGGAUAGCAAGUUUAACCAACCUCUACAGUUUGUCCCUUGGGGAAAAUUCCCAAGUUUUGUGGCUAACCUCACGCAACUUUCAUUUCUAUACUGGGAUAAUGACGAAUUAACUGGUCAAAUCCCAUCUUGGCUUAUGAAUUUGACCCAGUUAACUACUCUAUCUAUACCUCCCGGGUAACAAUUUGCAAGGAGCAAUUCCUAGGUCACUCUUCCAGCUCCAAAAUCUUGAAAUUCUUGACCUUUCCUCUAAUAGCUUGAGUGGACAAGUUGAGUUUGAUCAGUUUUCCCAGCCCAAAAAGUUAAUGGAACUUCAAUUAUCAUACAACAAGUUAUCUCUGCUGAUCAUAACCAAUUUGAGUGCUACUGUUCCACAGCUUGAACUUCUAGAUCUCCAGACCAAUAUGUUACAAGGAUCACUGGCAAUUCCACCACAAUCAAUCAGAAACUAUAUGGUCGGCAGCAAUCAUUACAGUGGAGAAAUUUCGCCCUUGUUCUGCAACUUGAAUGAUUUGCACAUUCUUGAUUUGUCCAACAACAGCCUGAGUGGCAUGCUUCCACAAUGUUUGGGGAACUCCAGUGCUCUUGAAAUAUUGAUGCUGAUGAACAAUUCAUUUCAUGGCAGUAUUCCUCAAAUAUGUCCAGUCGAAAAUAGUUUGAAAAUGGUUGAUUUGAGUUACAAUCAGCUACAUGGAAAAGUACCAAGAUUAGAGUUUCUUAACAAUCAUAUGCGCGACAUCUUCCCAUUUGGUUAGGGGCACUUCCAGCACUACAGGUUCUCAGUUUGAGGUCUAAUGGAUUUCAUGGCAUGAUUGGGAAGUAUGCAACUAACCAUGACUUCCCAAAGUUGUGCACCAUUGAUUUAUCUGACAAUGGUUUUUCAGGUGUGUUUCCCUCUAACUACUUAGAGAACUGGAAUUCCAUGAAAUUUGUUGACGCGAGCCAGCAAACUUAUUUUCAAGUCAACUCAGCUAAAUAUACGGCUCCCUUUGCUUAUCCAUACUCAAUCACAACUUGGUGUUGAGUUGAAAUUUAUAUGGACCCCUUAUCUUCUUAGAUUUAUAGAUUUCUCAAGUAAUAGAUUUGAAGGAGAGAUUCCAGCAGGUGUCAUUGGGAAUCUAAGAGGCCUUCUUUUCCUUAACCUUUCCAACAACGCUCUCACUGGUCUCAGCCCAUCAUCUUUAUGGAACUUGACGGCUCUUGAAUCGUUGGAUCUCUCCCGAAACCAGCUCUCAGGAAGGAUCCCCGGUAAUUUGGCACAACUCACUUUCCUUGAAUAUUUCAAUGUAUCCUAUAACCAUCUUGGGGGUCCUAUACCACUUGGCCAACAAUUUGGUACAUUCCUAGAAGAUUCUUACCAAGGAAAUUCAGGUCUGUGUGGAAAGCCUUUGUCAAAGAAAUGUGAUAGCUCAAUAUUGCUACCACCAUCAAUCUUUGAAGAAGAUGAAGAUUCCGGGUUUCAAAUUGCACUAGAUUGGUAUGUGGUUCUGCCAGGAGUUGUUAGUGGUCUAAUAGUUGGAGUGGUUGCUGGGAACUUUUGGACAAGCAAGAAUCAUGAAUGGUUUUUAGAGAAAUUUAGCAGGAAGAGGCAGCCAAGAGGCACACGGGGAAGGAGAGGACACAGAAACUAAGUACUUAAUUUAAAUCCAUGUUUAUCUUGCAGCUGCUGCUGUUGUUGUUUAGAAUUCUUGUAUGGGGUCUGGUGCAUUCUGUUUUAUUACAGUAAGGGUGGUGGGUGGUGCUGUAAGUUGCUUGUAUUAAUUUGUACAACAAUUUUUGUAAUAUGUUUCUGUACAAACUACAUUUUCUGUUUCCUGUUUGCUUAGUUUCUUUGAUUUCUUGUAUUGUUGUUCUUAAUUCAGUACCCAAUAUUUGGAUGCCUAAUGCUUACUUUGCAGCCAGUAUAUGUUGCUACUAUCAACUUCUAGUAAUUUAAUUUGCCAACUCUCUUGAGGUUCUUCUCUGUCCUUCUCUGCCUUCUCUGUUCUCUUGAUUCUUAUUAAGAAAGACAUGAUGUUAAAAUGCUGAAGCCAAAAUUUUACUUGCAUUGCUGCCUUGAGUUACAAAUGUGUGUGUGUGAGAGAGAGAGAGAGAGAGAGAGAGAGAGAGAGAGAGAGAGAGCAACUUUUCAAGAAAACCCAAAACAUGAUAAACUCUUUGGGCCAUAGAUCUGAGUGCCAAUGGUAGGAGGAAAUUCUAUGUAAUAUAAUACAACAAAUGACAGAAUAUGUUGCUAAUAUUGACUGGCUACAAAUUACAUUUCCCGUUUCAUGUUUGCUUAGUUUGUUUGAUUUUCUGUAUUCUUGUUCUUAAGUACCAAAAUUUUGAUGCUUAAUUGCUGACUUUGCAGCCAGAAAUUUGAGUUCUUGGAUCAAUUUGAGGGUUGCUCUUGCUAUCAACUUUUCAAUUAUUGAAUCACCCAGCUGGGUCUUAAUUAAAUGCCGAACAAAGAAAAUGGAACCGGAGAAAGGGACACGAAGACCCACUAACCUUGACGAAGGCAGAGGAUGAAGAAAAAGGUGGACAACGAGCCCUGACUCUGCUUCACUGAGACAUCGUAGGAAUUGCAAUCUGAGACUCCCAAGCAAUCAUCGUGGUUUGUGUAUCAAAUUUGGAUCCCAAAUAAUGUGCCAUUUGACACAUCAUCACUUUUAAAUUAACAUAAUUUCAAACAUGUAUUUAGGAGUCAUUAAUUUCUUUUUUUAAAAAAGUAAACAAAUCAUUUGGGACCACUGGUUAAUUAAAUAAAAUGAUUUAUUUACUUUUAUAAAGAGAGGAAUUCUGUUCCAAAAUGAUUUAUUUAGGAGUCAAGUCUUCGAGAGAUUGAUCAGCUGAUUUAAUUAUUCAAGCAAUUCCUAAUCUCCUUACUUUUUGGCCUUUGGUUACCUAAUAUCUUUUCAAUUAUCAUACUUUAUUUAUCACCCCCUCCUCCCCUCUUUUUUGAUUAUUUUGCAUGAGUUAUUGACUUGUGGUUGUGGAGAUCGAAUCUGAUUCAAAGCUGAUCAUUGAUAUGAUACGUGGCAAUCUUAGUGUGGAUGCUACUAUUGAGGGCCUGGUGUUUGAAAUUGGUUUGCUAGCACGAAGGUUUGAGCAGGUGACCAAGUACGCACCGCGUGAGGAAGUUGAGGUUCCACUCCAAAAUUAAUCAGCAAUGGAGGAAAUAGCCCAAUUCCUUAUAAGUCUUUGCUAGGUUCUCAACCUUCUAAUGUGAGACUUUUUACCUUCACAUUCUUACACGCCCCUGCGAGUGUAGCAAAUUUCAAGCUUAAUAGGUGGACAACGCAUAUUGGGUGACGUGGAGCACAUGUAGCCAUUGAGCUUUCACAUGUGGGCUAACCCGCUCUAAUACCAUGACGAAGUUAAGGUUCCACCCCAAAACCAAUUGGCAAUAAGGAGAGUAGCACAACUCCUUAUAAGUCAUUGCUAGGUUUCUCAACUUUCCAAUGUGAGACUUUUUACUUUUACAUUCUCAUAUCAUGCAUCAGUAACCGAGCUGCCCAUGAGGUGGUGUCUUUUGUUACUAGAAAUGGAGGGGUCCAAUGUCCAUAGUUGGGAUUUGUUGUGGCCUGAGUGGCUUUUUCAUAUUUUGGCAUCUGAUGUAAACGUUGUUGUUCGUCUUUGAAUAAAGUUCUUUGGCAAAUAUAUAUAUAUAUAUUACAUGCAAUCUAAGUAGGUUUCUCACAUACACGAACACAACAAAGAUGACAUGGAAGUUCGAAUUUGAUACUUCUUGUCUGCAAAUCAAGGUCCUUUUCCACUUGCCUAACCUCCUCAGGUUACAAAAUUACACUAACACCCCUUAAGGUUUUAAAUUAUUUUCACAAAACUCUCUAAAAAAAAAGUGGUAACGAUAACAAGGAUACAUCUUAUGCAUCUAAUAUUUAUACUACAAUUCAUGAGGAACUUACUGAACUCGAAUCUCAAGUAAUUGAACAAUGUGUUUGAUUUGAUAAUUAUUUAUAUUUUGUACUUCUUUGUGUUAUAUUUGCUCAUAAUGUGGCAUUGUUUGAUUUAUAGAAUUUUAUUUACAUUUUUGUUUCAAGAGAAAAAGGCUUAUAAUAUAUCUCUUGUAAAAAAAUAAAAUUUAACCUACCUCUACAAAAAUUUAUGGGUUUGUCAUUGUUAGAACUCGAACCCACGACCUUUCAUGGGGGAGCAUAUACUAAACUCACACACACUACAAGGAUGCUAGAACUCUAACACAUGACCUUUUGUGGGGGAACACACUAAACUUACACACACUAUACGGAUACUAAAACUUUAACCCAAAACGCUUGUUGCACUUCACAUUUACUCAAGGUAAAUCCAUGAAAUAGAAAAAUAUCUUUGCAUUGGAUGGUUCAUCAGUGACACAUGAAUGUUUUAAUAAUGGGCCAUCUCAAUAGCUCGCUUUCACCGGUCGGUAACCGUCUACCAAGCUAGACUGACCUUUAAUAGCUUGACUUAAAUGAAACUAAGUAAAGUCGCCAAAGGAGAAGAAGGAAGCAUAGAAGGCCAACGUUUGAUGUAUUUAAUAGAUGGUGUGUAUGAACUUUGACUCAAGUUGUGAUUAUGGUAAAAUGAAAAGUGGGUUCAGUAUAUCACGAAUGUGUGCACAAAAUAGAUUGAUGUUGUGUCUAUAAAAGGAGUUUAACUUUUCCACACUUUAUUAUGAGAGAGCCAUAAAGCAUACAUACAUACAUAAUAUAUCAGAAAUGAUCAUUUCCAGAGGAAUGGAAUCGCGGUGCUCAAAAUUUAUUUCUGUGCGCUGUCUUAUUUUGCUAUUACUCAUUGCUACUCAUUGUUUUCCACUUGUGCAGACAGUAUGGACAGUUGGCCGCGUUGAUGAGUGCUCUGCCUUGUUGCAGUUCAAGCAAAGCUUUUCGAUUGAAGAGUCUGCUUCUGGGGAACGUUUGUCUUGUGCAAAGAUUGCAUCUUGGACUCAACAUGGUGGAGAGAGGAGUAACUGUUGUUCAUGGGACGGUGUCGAGUGCGAUGAGGACUCUGGCCAUGUUAUUGGUCUUGACCUCCGAAGCAGCUGUCUUCAUGGUUCCAUCAUCUCCAGCAGCUCUCUCUUCGACCUUGUUCACUUGCAGAGGCUUGACCUUUCAGAUAAUGACUUCAAUUACUCUGGAAUACCAUCCAGAUUGGGUCAUGAUCUGACUAGUUUAACAUAUCUCAACCUUUCAAGUUCAGUCUUUUCCGGUCAAAUUCCAUCAGAAAUUUCAAUGCUCUCCAAGUUGUCUACUCUUGAUCUGUCUUCCAAUGUUUUUAAUGGUAACAGUUUAAAAUUGACGAAGACCACCCUGGGAAGCCUGGUUCAAAACUCGACCAACCUAAAACAACUUCAUCUUAGUAUGGUAGAGAUAUACUCCACUGUGCCUGAUAUCUUGGUCAAUGCAUCUUCU